CGAGGACGACGAGGAGGACGAGGAGGACGAGGAGAACGAGGAAGAGGAAGAGGAAGACAAGAAGGUGCUCAAAGAGGACCGAAUCGGACAAAUGAGAUCCGCGCAACACUGGUUGACCACGUUGUCAACCACGGCCUGACGCUGAGGGAGGCUGGACUGCGAGUACAGCCAAAUAUAAGCCAAUAUACAGUGGCAAGUGUGAUGAGAACAUUUCGACUGGAAAAUAGGUCUCAAAAUCAACACUGGCACGCAUCCUAAAAAAGAAACGUAUUCAAAUGAAGCAAAUUUAUCGAGUGCCUUUCGAGCGCAAUUCCGAAAGGGUAAAACGACUGCGGCAUGAUUAUGCAGAGAGAGUUUUACGAAUGGACGGAGAGGAGAUCCAGCAUGAGUUCAUUUACGUAGAUGAGGCUGGGUUCAACCUGACGAGAACACGAAGGAGGGGAAGAAACAUCAUUGGCCACAGGGCUAUAGUCAAUGUCCCAGGGCAACGUGGGGGUAAUAUAACACUCUGUGCAGCCAUUACACAGAAUGGGGUCCUCCACCGCCAUGCCCAUAUGGGCGCUUACAACACAGCACUCAUACUUACAUUCUUGGACCAAUUGCGCAACAUAACAGCAGCAAAUCAAAUAAAUCAUAUGCAAUACAUUGUUGUCUGGGACAAUGUGUCUUUCCAUCGCUCUGCUCUGGUUCAGAACUGGUUUCAGCAACAUCCACAUUUCACCGUCUUAUAUCUUCCACCAUACUCUCCAUUCCUCAACCCUAUAGAAGAGUUUUUCUCGGCAUGGCGGUGGAAGGUAUAUGAUCUCCGUCUCCAGGCUGAGGUACCCCUCAUCCAAGCCAUGGAGGAGGCCUGUGACCAGAUGGAGGUAGCAGCAAUGCAAGGAUGGAUUCGUCAUUCAAGACGUUUCUUUCCAAGGUGUCUUGCUAAUGACAACAUUGCCUGUGAUGUUGAUGAAAUUCUCUGGCCAGAUCCAGCUAGGCGAAGAGACAAUGUCUAGUUGUUGUUUUUUAACUUGCAAUACGUAAAGUGACGUUUGAUUACAGUAUUAUGAAUCUCUAUGUCAACAUUUUGGGCGUGUUGAGAAAUAAAUGAGUUUCUUCAGUCUGCAACAUUGGUCUUGUGUAUUGUUUGGUGAAUUUACAUUAUAUUUGUACUUUGUUGAUAGUAGCCUACUCUAAUCAUAGGGAAGUAGAAGUGCUAAAAGUGUUUUAGGUUUAUCACAGCAGAGUGUAACUCGUGCAAACAGAGUAUAGUAAUGUGAAACGUGUGUGUUUCAUAUAGUAACAAAGUGUGGUUUUUAAAAAGAAGUGUAUAGUUUUUACAGGAGUGUU